AUCAGCAUCAACAUCACUUUCACUUCACCUGCAAAACCAAUUCAAAAUUAAAAACAGCUUAUCAAAUAAGCACUUAAAAAUCUGGAAAAUAAUUAAUAGAAAGAGCAUAUUAAUAUGUUACACAAUGAAUCAAAGGAAGCGCUCAGAAACACACUGCAUUAUCAAAUAAACAACUUUAAAUCCAUAGAUUAAUCAUCCCACAAAAUCUGGAAAUAGGAUCCAACAAGUUGUCUCAGAAACCAACAUUCAUGUAUAUAAACCACAAAACUAAUUAACAGUAACACGUUUUGAUAAAAAUCCAAAAGAAAUUUUCCAAGUUUUUUUUCUCUGUUAACUCCAAAGAGACACAACACAGUAAGCUAUUUCUUCUAAAAAACCUUAAACCACAACAACAACAAAGAAUCACUUUUUUUCCUAAAACCAGAACGGCAUGGCAAGAACAAACGCAGCAAAGCUUUUUUUUUCAAAACUCUAAAACAACAACAGCAACCACACACAAAGCUAUUUCUUCUAAAAACCCUAGAACACACAACAUAAACAUAGCAAAAAAAGCAAUUCUUCUCAAAGAGCACCAUAAUCACACCUUACCAGAAGCAGAUCGAUAGUGAAAGAAAAGUAAGAGGAAGGAGUGGCUAGUGCGAAGAGGUCACCGGAUUCACGAAGUUGGCGUCAUCGACGAAGCCGUCAUCCUCGUCGUCGCUUGCUGAGAUAUCCUGCAUCGGCGCGGAGGUUUGUUUACCGUUUCGGUUAGAGGAGGUCGGAGCAGGGAGCGCGGCGGUUUCACCAUUUUGGCACCAUUGACGGCGGCGAUACGACAAGAUUCUUCUCCCGGCCGAUCUGUUUUUUUUCUUCCUCCUAGCAACUCACUGAACAGGUGAGGAAUUCUAACUUCACCAAAAUGAAAUUCUGAAUGCGUACACAUUCACAUAACAGAGUACCCUAUCUCUAACUGGGCUUAGCACGCGUGUACAAGGCCCACAUGCACCUUUUUCUUUAAUUAUUGUUUGUUAAUUGGUCCUUAGAAAUAGCAUUGAUCUGUUAUUUGAUUAAUUAGCUUAACU
rnacentral:lncRNA from 1 species